rnacentral:lncRNA from 1 species
UUUUUUUUUUUUUUUUUUUUUUUUUAAAGCAAGAAAUCAAAAAUAAGAGAAAAUACACUGCAAAUUCAAAUACUUCUGCACCAAAUCACACAUCUUGUUGCCCCUUGUAGAGAGCACAUUAUCAGAGCACUCACACUGAACUACCAAAUCAAUCCUCAAAGCUUCCCAAGGGAAGGAAAACCCAGCUAACACCCGACAGCAAAAGAGUUUGCACCAAGAAACCAGACCCAUCCAGCCCCUACCAACGCUCUUUUCGAAGACAUAAAGAUUUCCAGGUGCUUGACAUCCAUGUUAACUUUUUAAGUAAUAAAACUUGAGGAGAGCAUUCCCAUUGGAUCAGAGGGGAGACUUUGCUACAACAAUAGCUGUGCUGGCAAACUGAUUCCUUUCAACACAUUCUUGAGUUUGUAUUUUAAGUGGUUUUGCCACAUUGGCAGCCAAAAAUAACAAUUUUCUGAUCAAAUUCACUGGUUCUUGUAAAAUGUUUUAACACGCUAACUAUGACCGUGAGCAGUUCUAAUAGUCUUUCAAGCUGCCUGUUCAGACCUCUUACUUUUGAAAGAGUGAAGGGCUCCACAAAAGGCUCCAGCAGAGUGAUGCCAUCCAUGGCUGCUGCUCCUGCAGCAUUCCCACCCCUCAUUACCCAGGGAUACAGCCCAUAUUUAAUGUGAUGCUAUUUGCUGCUUUGUAUUUCAUACCUACCCUUAAUGUAAAGUAAUAAUUAAGAACAGCCUUCCCCUGUGCCUGGUAGUGCAAGGCCAAAAUCCACAACAGCUACCACAGCUGAAAUGUCAGGGAAAAAGGAACAAAAGCAAAUGGACAGGCAGGAAUUACCCUACAGUCUCUACUUGCACCAGUCUUGCUCUUUGAUGAUGAUGAACAGCAAGAAAUCCUAAUGUGGUUCUUAGAGGAGAAAUAAAUCACUUAGAAACUGUAUUUCUGGUUGAAAAAAGCCUCCUCCAGCUGCAAAAAUCAGAAUUUUCAUUAAGUCACUUUGUAAGUAAUUAAUGGCAGUUUAAGACUUACCAAGUAACUAAGAAAUGAGAGGCUGGUUUGAACGGGAACAUGGGGCAUUUCCACCCCAAACGAGGCUCCACUUAGCCAGCCACCAUGAGCCCAGUUCACAGCACUGCUCCCACUGGGAAACCUCCAUGGCCACCUCCAGAGCAGGGGACAGAGCUGAGACAAGCCCUGGAUUUCUGGAUGAACCAAAGGCUUAUAGGCAGAAGGAAAACACAAAAUACAGAACCCACUCCAAAUGGCAAAGCUGCAACUUUUGGACCACUUUUGGUGGGAGGUCAGCGAGGUCACCUGAGCAGGUGGAUCUCAGUUACUGUGGACCAACAUGGUGGUCUUGGAUAACAGACCUUAAUUCAUUAAUUAAUUAUCAUUAGGCUCUUGGAAUCACUAGAGGGAGAAGUGAGCACAUGCCUUAAAUCAGGAUGUUACAUCUGGAUGGGAAAAAACACCCAGCAGACGAUGGCAUGAAGCAUUUAAGUAUUAACUAUAAUAUCUACACCACAUGCAGCUUCUCAAGAUGUUUUGCUGUCAUCAGCUUAGUAAAAGAUAAAGAUUUAUUGGGCUAUUACUGAAAAGGAAGCUAGAUACUGCCAAAUGGCACGGACAGUUAGAUGACUACUUGCUGACAUCUUUAUUCAUAUAUAAAACAACACAACUGACUUGUGUUUUUUUUUAACUACCAUGCUUGAAGGAAUCAACAAAGAAGUGCCUUAUCACACAGCACUUUAAAGUCAUUUUUUUAACCAUUCAUGGGGUUUGGAUGGUUGUUUUUAUUGUAUGCAUACAGAAUAUUCUAAGAGCACCCCGUGAACUUCUAGUGCUGACUACAAGAAGAGAUAAGCAGUGCUGGCUGCAGAUUGGGGUGAUGAUUUCUGAAGGUGCUGAGGGACAAUCCCAUGGAACAGUACUCCCUGGACACAGCCACAAGGUCACUCUGGUCCCACAGAUCUCAGAUAUCAGAAAAAAAAUCUUUACUGUGAGGGUGAUGAGCCACUGGUAAAGGGUGCCCAGAGAAGUUGUGGCUGCCCCAUAUUUAGCUGGAAAUAAAUGAUCUUUAAAGGUCCCUUCCAACCCAAACCAUUCCAUGAUUUAUGCACAUUUCAAGGGUUGCAGAGGCAUAGCUUUUUAAAGGUUUAAAUCACAGAUCAAUGCUAAAUCUGCAGAGGUUGAGAAUAUUCUGAUUUAAUAUUCCAUGUCUAGUUUUUGUUCAGCUUUUAACAGCAAUCUGAGAGGUUAAAAUCAACAUGAUAUGUUGAUAUUAUAGGAUAACAUCAACAGCUUCUUAGAGCAGUAGGAAUAUGGCUUCUAAAAAAGAAAUUACUGGAUAAGUUGCAAGGAUUAUAGAAUUAUUUUUAGAACAUAUGUCAAAAAGAUGACAAACCAAAUGAAUUUAAUUAUUCUGUUCCUUGUUGAAAACUGCAGCAAGAGUGAAGUAAAUCAGGCAAGACAGAACCCUGCAGUAUUACACAACUCCAUUCUAAAUGUUUGCCCUGAAAUUUCAAAAGGAAUCUAAGCCUGCUCUUCCAGAAAGCAGCAAGCCAGAGCUGUCCACUUUUCCUCUGACAGCUUGAUCUACUGUUCCCCCUUUGUUACACAUUUUGAAUUCAAUUCAGCCUACUACUUCCAAUUAACCAGCAUACUCUUACUGCAUUAUUUGGCACUAAGCAGGCACACAGGUUCCUUCAGCUCCUGCCAAUGUGAGAAGACAAUACCCUGAAGGUGAACCAGGCAAUUUGUUGGCAGAACUGGGCUCUGGGCAGUGCCCAAGCAGGCUGAUGGGAGGCUGCAGGUGUGUGGUUUCAAAUGCCUUCAAAGUGCUCUGUGCCCAAGUCUUCUCAAAACUUCACAACCAUCCUCCUCCAGCAAGAUUCAUGCUGUAUUUUGAAUAUUUCUAAUACUCUGGAGUGCCAGAAAGCUCCAUUUGUCAGGCUCAGUCACUGGCCAGCCUGCCCUGGUCAGGGAUCAUACACAAACCCACUUGGGCACAGGCCAUUAUUUAUGCUGUACAAACUACCAAAGCAGGUGUGAUUUCAGCCUGUUUGCUCUGAAUGUGAAUUAGUUCAGUAGAAUAAAGUCUCAUCCACAAUGUAAGCCUGUUGCUUCAAAACUAGCAAUAAGGGAAAAACAAGAUCAAGUUUUAAUGACAUGUUUAUAUAUAUAAAAAAAUCAUUCUUUUACUACAACAUGUCUACAACAAAAAGUACAGUACAAAUCCGAGAUACACCCCACACAUUUCUUGAAGAGGGAUUACAAAUUCACAGAGACAUAACAUUGCUAUGCAAGUGCUUAUUAAGAGCAAUAGAAAGAACAGAACGAACAAUUUAUGCUCUACAAGGCUGAGAUUUGGUGUUUACUGCUGGAAAUUGCUUUACACAGUGUCAGAAUUUAAAGCUGUGACCUUACAAAAGAAUUACUGGGCACAGUUGCAGCCCAUGCAUGGAGCUGCUCAGUCAGCCACAGGUCAACCUGAAGGAAAAGUCCUUUGAAAACUGGUGGCUGAGAAGGUUACUAGCCUAAAUAUAAAAAUAUUAACACAAGAAUGGGAGGAUAGAAGUUUCUUGGUCCAUCAGCACUCUGAAAGAUUGUUCCUAAGCUUUACUUUGCUCUGAUAAGAAGAUAAAUUCUAACAGAGUCACUGUUUGAUCUGCACAGUGAAGCCACGAUGGCUCCCAAAUGUGUCUUUGCCUCUUCUGGGAAGGACAUGAAGGUUUUAUUUCCAUGUUUGUCCCGUUGGCAACUCCUGACACUAUGCUGGUUAUUACUUACACAAACAGAAACCUGCAGCCAAUCAAAAUAAUAUGGUUGGCAAGGAAUCUGGGCAAACUUUAAUAGCUAUGGUUCUUCAACAUAAAAAGGAUAAAAGUAGAAUAAUAAUUUUUGGCAGGGGAAGCGGGGAAUUUUUAAAAUUCUGAUUGUUUUCCUAUGAGGAUAGUGUUAGUGAAGUCUAACUUAAAACAUGUUGUCCUGGCUUCAUGAAAUCACAGCGAGUGAGGUUCUGCUGGGCCCACUGAGUUACACUCAGCUCCUUCCCACUCCAGCUGAAGUUAUCUGGAGCACACAAGGUAAGAGAGGGGGAUUUGGCAUGGGAGCUGCAUGGCUGAAAUAAUUCCGGUGUCUUUCUGAAAGGAGCUAUCUGCACGUGCAAGUGUGCUACAGAGGAAUACACAGAGCUCUCCCUUCAAGAAAGUGUCAUUAACUUCAGCCUCCUGGGAGCCAGCAAAGACCUUCACCAAGAGGAAGAUGGACAUCAAUUUAAGUAUAAACCCCAUUUUCACUGAAUCAAUUUAACUAUAAACCCCAUUUUCACUGAAUCAAUUUAACUAUAAAUCUCAUUUUCACUGAAUUUUUCACUUUCAUUUUCAACAAGCCCCAGUGCUGUGCUCAGCACUACAUCAGCCUGACACUCUUGCACUGGAAUCUGAUGAAGCAAAUAAGCAGAGUUGUGCUAAUUUAGUAGCAACUACACUCACUUGCCACCAAAUUAAUCUCUGGGAAAGCUGAUUUAGUCAGUUUUCCAUUAAAAAAUUCCAUCCUGUCUAAUAAAGAUUACUUUGUAGGCAAAGAAUCAGGUAAAUGUGUUGAACUGUAGUAAGGAGCAGAAUAACAAUAAUAACAAUAAUAUCAGAAAAAAAAGUAAACUUCUUAAUUAGUUGUUAAUAAAGUUGUGGCUUUUCUAGGUAGCAAAAUUUUGUAAACAUUUUCUCUACCUUAUGAAAAAAGUAAGAACCAAGAUCGGACAUUCCAACUACCCCAAUCAAAAUUCCUCUUUUAAGAUUUAUGAAAUCUUUAAUUCUGAUUUUUACCUGUAUAUGACUGCAUUUUGUUUUGGAACAAAAAGUCAUGCAGAGCCACAAACCAGAAUGGUCUGUUUGAUGGUACUGAAGUGAACUUCUUUUCCCAAGGUAAUAACAUAAAGCCAAGAAGCAUUUUGAAUAAAAAAGCCUGUUGCAUAUGGAGUGGUUUGUAUGAAUUGGCAUUUUUUGAUUUUAAAAAAAGUUUGCUGAAAUAUUCCCCAAAAGCAGAUCUACUUGGGCCCUUAAUUCAUUGGCAUAGGCUCAGUAUCAGUCACUUAAAAUAUGUGUUUUAUCAUGUACCUAAAAUCGUGACAUCCUUUAAAAACACGUCAUACAAAAAUCUUUUAUUUCCUUAUACUACAUAUUUACAAUUCUAUCAUCAAGGUACUGUAGAAAAUGUAAACAAGUAUACAUGGGUGUAAAUAAUAUGGCUUGAGAAAGGUUUCCCCUUGGAUUAGCUGCUCAAAUCACACAUUAAUCUACAAAAAUAAGAGAAAAA